rnacentral:rRNA from 1 species
UACGUAGGGUGCAAGCGUUAUCCGGAAUUAUUGGGCGUAAAGAGCUCGUAGGCGGUUUGUCGCGUCUGCCGUGAAAGUCCGGGGCUCAACUCCGGAUCUGCGGUGGGUACGGGGCAGACUAGAGUGAUGUAGGGGAGACUGGAAUUCCUGGUGUAGCGGUGAAAUGCGCAGAUAUCAGGAGGAACACCGAUGGCGAAGGCAGGUCUCUGGGCGACUUAACUGACGCUGAGGAGCGAAAGCAUGGGGAGCGAACAGGA